rnacentral:lncRNA from 1 species
AACCUGUCUCGAUGCCAUAUUCCUUCAAGUCGAUUCGCUGCAGAGUUCCUAUUCCUAUUCCAACCUCUUUGCUUGUCAGGGUCACUUGAACAGCUGAUGGGGUAAAUAAUUACACACUUUUAUCUUGCUAUCAAUAAUCUUAUUCUAGACAAUGUAGGAGACUGAAUUAUUGAUAACUUUUGCGUUGAUUACGAUGAAUCCUAGACUGAUGGUUCUCAUCUCGGUUGAAAGUAGAAUCUUGCACAUGAAUUUUAACUAACAUUUCGCGCGUCAUUUUGCUGUUUGUAAUGCUCCAAAUGUUGUGUUCGUGUUAAAAUGUUGAUAAAAUUGUUUACCUACUUGUAAUUCAUGAUCAGUUUUGUGAAUCCAAAUUCUUCAUGGGAUAUUAAUGGAUAAUCUUUGAGCUCGAUUCUAUGUAGAGCGACCGGUACGGUGCUUCUUGGCGCUCAGCGAUGGAGCGGAUAACCAUGGCUGAUUCCGACUCGGAUCUCGAUGACGAGUUUGAAGAUGCCUUCGAGACGCAGCCUAUGUAAGUACUCUCCAGAAUAAGUUUACCAUCUUCGUAGUAGUUGGGUCCAAGUGAUUAUUGUUGAGUUAUA